rnacentral:rRNA from 1 species
UGAGUCUUCGAGUCGUUGAUUUCACACUGCCGAGAAAAGCCUCUAGAUAGAAAAUAGGUGCCCGUACCGCAAACCGACACAGGUAGUCAAGAUGAGAAUUCUAAGGUGAGCGAGCGAACUCUCGUUAAGGAACUCGGCAAAAUGACCCCGUAACUUCGGGAGAAGGGGUGCUCUUUAGGGUUAACGCCCAGAAGAGCCGCAGUGAAUAGGCCCAAGCGACUGUUUAUCAAAAACACAGGUCUCUGCUAAACCGUAAGGUGAUGUAUAGGGGCUGACGCCUGCCCGGUGCUGGAAGGUUAAGAGGAGUGGUUAGCUUCUGCGAAGCUACGAAUCGAAGCCCCAGUAAACGGCGGCCGUAACUAUAACGGUCCUAAGGUAGCGAAAUUCCUUGUCGGGUAAGUUCCGACCCGCACGAAAGGCGUAACGAUUUGGGCACUGUCUCAACGAGAGACUCGGUGAAAUCAUAGUACCUGUGAAGAUGCAGGUUACCCGCGACAGGACGGAAAGACCCCGUGGAGCUUUACUGUAGCCUGAUAUUGAAAUUCGGCACAGCUUGUACAGGAUAGGUAGGAGCCUUUGAAACGUGAGCGCUAGCUUACGUGGAGGCGCUGGUGGGAUACUACCCUAGCUGUGUUGGCUUUCUAACCCGCACCACUUAUCGUGGUGGGAGACAGUGUCAGGCGGGCAGUUUGACUGGGGCGGUCGCCUCCUAAAAGGUAACGGAGGCGCUCAAAGGUUCCCUCAGAAUGGUUGGAAAUCAUUCAUAGAGUGUAAAGGCAUAAGGGAGCUUGACUGCGAGACCUACAAGUCGAGCAGGGUCGAAAGACGGACUUAGUGAUCCGGUGGUUCCGCAUGGAAGGGCCAUCGCUCAACGGAUAAAAGCUACCCCGGGGAUAACAGGCUUAUCUCCCCCAAGAGUUCACAUCGACGGGGAGGUUUGGCACCUCGAUGUCGGCUCAUCGCAUCCUGGGGCUGUAGUCGGUCCCAAGGGUUGGGCUGUUCGCCCAUUAAAGCGGUACGCGAGCUGGGUUCAGAACGUCGUGAGACAGUUCGGUCCCUAUCCGUCGUGGGCGUAGGAAAUUUGAGAGGAGCUGUCCUUAGUACGAGAGGACCGGGAUGGACAUACCUCUGGUGUACCAGUUGUCGUGCCAACGGCAUAGCUGGGUAGCUAUGUGUGGACGGGAUAAGUGCUGAAAGCAUCUAAGCAUGAAGCCCCCCUCAAGAUGAGAUUUCCCAACUUCGGUUAUAAGAUCCCUCAAAGAUGAUGAGGUUAAUAGGUUCGAGGUGGAAGCAUGGUGACAUGUGGAGCUGACGAAUACUAAUCGAUCGAAGACUUAAUCAA